rnacentral:rRNA from 1 species
AGUUUGAUCCUGGCUCAGACCGAACCGCUGGCGGCAUGCCUACCCCAUGCAAGUCGACCGAGACCUUCGGGUCUAGUGGCGCACGGGUGCGUAACGCGUGGGAACCUGCCUUUAGGUUCGGAAUAACUCAGAGAAAUUUGAGCUAAUACCGGAUAAUGUCUUCGGACCAAAGAUUUAUCGCCUUUAGAUGGGCCCGCGUUGGAUUAGCUAGUUGGUGGGGUAAAGGCCUACCAAGGCGACGAUCCAUAGCUGGUCUGAGAGGAUGAUCAGCCACACUGGGACUGAGACACGGCCCAGACUCCUACGGGAGGCAGCAGUGGGGAAUAUUGGACAAUGGGCGAAAGCCUGAUCCAGCAAUGCCGCGUGAGUGAUGAAGGCCUUAGGGUUGUAAAGCUCUUUUACCCGAGAUGAUAAUGACAGUAUCGGGAGAAUAAGCUCCGGCUAACUCCGUGCCAGCAGCCGCGGUAAUACGGAGGGAGCUAGCGUUGUUCGGAAUUACUGGGCGUAAAGCGCACGUAGGCGGCUUUUUAAGUCAGGGGUGAAAUCCCGGGGCUCAACCCCGGAACUGCCCUUGAAACUGGGAAGCUAGAAUCUUGGAGAGGCGAGUGGAAUUCCGAAGUGUAGAGGUGAAAUUCGUAGAUAUUCGGAAAGAACACCAGGUGGCGAAGGCGACUCGCUGGACAAGUAAUUGACGCUUGAGGUGCGAAAAGCGUGGGGGAGCAAACAGGAUUAAAUACCC